AGAACGAACGCUGGCGGCAGGCCUCAAACAUGCAAGUCUAGGGGAUGUAGCAAUACAUCACCGGCGGACGGGUGCGUAACGCGUGGGAAUAUACCUAUUGGUUCGGAACAACUGAGGGAAACUUCAGCUAAUACCGGAUGAGCCCUAACGGGGAAAGAUUUCUCGCCAAUAGAUUAGCCCGCGUCCGAUUAGCUAGUUGGUGGGGUAAAAGCCUACCAAGGCGACGAUCGGUAGCUGUUCUGAGAGGAAGAUCAGCCACACUGGGACUGAGACACGGCCCAGACUCCUACGGGAGGCAGCAGUUGGGAAUCUUGGACAAUGGGGGAAACCCUGAUCCAGCCAUGCCGCGUGAGUGAUGAAGGCCUUCGGGUUGUAAAACUCUUUCGACGGGGACGAUAAUGACGGUACCCGUAGAAGAGCUCCGGCUACUUCGCGCCAGCAGCCGC
rnacentral:rRNA from 1 species